GGGUCAGUAGGUUGGUCGUGCCACCGGUACGUACUGGUCUCACUGAUUCCUCCUUCCUGAAGAACCGUAAUGCCAUUAAUUUGGUGUUGCGGGGAAACAGGACUGUUACUUUGAAAAAAUUAGAGUGUUUAAAGCAAGCUAACGCUUGAAUACAUUAGCAUGGAAUAAUGAAAUAGGACGAUCGAUCCUAUUUUGGUGGUUUCUAGGAUUGACGUA
rnacentral:rRNA from 1 species